CCACGAUGUAUCUGCCAUUUCCUUAAAUUUUUCAGUGGCAACAUGCAAUGUUAACUUCAAAUUCUAUUGAAAAAAAAGGUUAACAUCUCAACAUACUACUUCUUUUUGUCCAUAUUUUGCCUGCAUAAAAAAUAUUACCAUCACAUAUCUCUCUGUCUUGCAACAAAUUAACCAAUAUACAUUUGGCCAACGAUCUAGGGUUUGAAAGAAAUGUUUUUAACACACGGACACGUAACUUG